CGAGCGGCUCCAAAUUUUCUCUAUCUCAAGAUGCCAGACUGAUCUGCAAGUGGAAAACUGGAGCUCGCUAGAUCAGGGCGGUCUCACGAGGCUACCACUCUGAGGCUCUGGACCACAUUUGGCGUAGAUUGGCCGUUAGAGGGCGCUACAAUUAUGAAAAAAUGUAUAUCUCAUGAAGUGCUCAUGUGAUUUUUAUGAAACUUGGAGUGUACAAUGGAUGUAGCCCAAGAUAGCACUUUAAAUUAUGGACUGUAUAAGUGUCUAUCAUCCGUUCUGUUGUUGGGAUUUGUGCGAUGCUUUUGAAAUGUCUGUAAAUCCUUGCCAAUAUAUGAACCCAUGCCUCUAACAAUACAGCUAACAUUAGCCUUAGCUAACAUGGCUAUUGUUUAGCCUGGCCUGCCAGUCUGAUUAAUUCAUAACGGUUAGGCCUGCUCCUAGGUAGCUUCUCUGUCUCUCCUCUCUCCCUCCCCUCUGUCUGUCCUAAUUGCAGGAGUGGAGUCUGGUGUGCGGGAGUCAGGGUUCCAGCUGCCUCUCAUCUACCACAAUCAACCUCUGCUUCAUCUACCCGGUCAUUCCUCCACUCUGCGUCAGAUCAUAGUCAAGACGACCACACUGCUUUGGAACCUGAUUCCUCCUACCGCUCCACUCGUGCCAUACACCGAACCAGAACCACCACCAGUGGACCCCACCACUAGCCGGCCUGCUGUCUCUCUCUGACCGACCCGCUCCUUCCCGGAAUUCACCUGACCCGUUCUCCGCCCCGGAAACCUGGAAUUGACACUUGAGUACUUUGAAUAAAACCUGUUAACUCAUAC